rnacentral:rRNA from 1 species
GUGUCAGCAGCCGCGGUAAGACGAACCUCCCAAACGUUAUUCGGAAUCACUGGGCUUAAAGGGUGCGUAGGCUGCGUAGUUAGUCGGGUGUGAAAUCCCCCAGCUUAACUGAGGAAUUGCGCCCGAUACUGCUGCGCUGGAGGGAGACAGAGGUAAGCGGAACUGAUGGUGGAGCGGUGAAAUGCGUUGAUAUCAUCAGGAACACCAGUGGCGAAAGCGGCUUACUGGGUCUCUUCUGACGCUGAGGCACGAAAGCUAGGGGAGCAAACGGGAUUAGAUACCCUCGUAGUCC